UUAAGGCCUUACAGUCUAGUAGAACUGAGUUUUAAAAUGACAUAAAAAUGUUGAAGAAAUGCCAGAACGCCUUUUUCGAUAGCUUAAAAAUAACUGAUGCUACUUAACGUCUGAAACAGUUAAAACAUAUCAAAUCCGAGCUAGAUGUUGCAAGGGGAGAGGAGUCAUCGGUGCUACCGAGAGUAAAAUAUAACAAAAAGAAAGUAACAGAACGAAAAAUAAUCAAUAUAUUUGGAAACAUAUCGUACCGAGGAAUAGUAGUUUACAGUGUAGAACAGACACCAAAGAAAGGGCCUAGAGAACAGCCAACAAAGGCACUGUACAGAUACGCAUGCAACCUUUGUGGGUAAGAAUACUGUCAUAUUGGUGUUAAAUGUGAGAUGUUUAGAUAUGACACAGUUCUUUGAGAAACCACCCGUUUUAAGAAUAC